AGUGAACGCUGGCGGUAGGCCUAACACAUGCAAGUCGAACGGCAGCACAGUAAGAGCUUGCUCUUACGGGUGGCGAGUGGCGGACGGGUGAGGAAUACAUCGGAAUCUACUUUUUCGUGGGGGAUAACGUAGGGAAACUUACGCUAAUACCGCAUACGACCUACGGGUGAAAGCAGGGGAUCUUCGGACCUUGUGCGAUUGAAUGAGCCGAUGUCGGAUUAGCUAGUUGGCGGGGUAAAGGCCCACCAAGGCGACGAUCCGUAGCUGGUCUGAGAGGAUGAUCAGCCACACUGGAACUGAGACACGGUCCAGACUCCUACGGGAGGCAGCAGUGGGGAAUAUUGGACAAUGGGCGCAAGCCUGAUCCAGCCAUACCGCGUGAGUGAAGAAGGCCUUCGGGUUGUAAAGCCCUUUUGUUGGGAAAGAAAAGCAGCAGGUUAAUACCCCGCUGUUCUGACGGUACCCAAAGAAUAAGCACCGGCUAACUUCGUG
rnacentral:rRNA from 1 species